rnacentral:rRNA from 1 species
ACAGCGGGAGCUUGCUCCCGGCUGACGAGUGGCGGACGGGUGAGUAAUGCAUAGGAAUCUGCCCAGUAGUGGGGGACAACCUGGGGAAACUCAGGCUAAUACCGCAUACGCCCUACGGGGGAAAGGCUUCGGCCGCUAUUGGAUGAGCCUAUGUCUGAUUAGCUUGUUGGUAGGGUAACGGCCUACCAAGGCGACGAUCAGUAGCUGGUCUGAGAGGAUGAUCAGCCACACUGGAACUGAGACACGGUCCAGACUCCUACGGGAGGCAGCAGUGAGGAAUAUUGGACAAUGGGCGAAAGCCUGAUCCAGCCAUACCGCAUGAGUGAUGAAGGCCCUUGGGUUGUAAAGCUCUUUUAGUGGGGAAGAUAAUGACGGUACCCACAGAAGAAGUCCCGGCUAACUCCGUGCCAGCAGCCGCGGUAAU